UCAUUUCCUUUUAUGCAUUGGGACGCCUAAAAUUACAGUAGAAUAUGAUUUUCUGAUACAUUCACUUUUCUGUGUCUUUCAUGUAAAGAACUGUAGUCAAGAAUGGAAUUAUGACACCCUUCUAUUGGAAGACAAAACCUCAGCCAUCUGUGAUGCAACCCAGUGAUAACCCUUCCCCUAAAAGAGCAAGCAAAAAUUAGAACUCAAGAAUGUGAAAAAUCAAAGUGUGGGAGAAGAAAAGCAACAACCUCCAAGGGAGUAUGAUGACAAGAAUGCCGAAUGUAAAUUACAACUGAAGAAUAAACCAGUACAUAUUAAUAAAAG
rnacentral:lncRNA from 14 species